rnacentral:lncRNA from 1 species
GUAGGGGAGUGUUGCUCGUAUGAGUUUUUAGAUCUAGUUUGGUCGAGUCGAGUCAUGUGAGAGUCUAAAUUAGUGUUUUUAUUUCAAUCAAAAAUAGAUAAAAUAGUAAUUUUCUUAAGCUUUUGAGAAGAUUUAGGCCUAGAUCGCUACUUUAGCAUCUUUGUGAGAAGAAGCAUGAAUAAAAUUCGAGGAUCGUGCGAGUAUUUUUAGUGCCUACCAUGGCAUGCUUGUCUUUUAUUUUGUCUUUGUAACUUUGGAUCAUGAGCAUUGUCUUGAAUUCUAAAUCUUAGUUGUGGAGUUUCAAUAACCGAUUUGUUUAUGCAAUACCCAUGCUUUAUGAUGAUCAAGUGCUUUGAUUUGAUUAUCUUUAUGAGUAAAGCUUGAAUUGGAGGUGAUUUAAAAUUUUAUUGUUUAUUUAAAACCUCUACAAAACAAGAUUGAUCAAGAUCUUUUAACCAGGUUGAUAGUUUUUAUUUAUCCUACCCAAUGCCUAAAAAUAUUUAUUCAUACCACCACCAGCAAUAUUUGAUGCUUUGAAUUGAAUUAGAAUCGCUCUCUCUUGGUUCGCUUUAAAUCUGAGCAUUGAUUAUAUUCUUUAUACCAUUUCUGAAUGCUAGCCUCGUCAAUAUUAAGUAAUGAGAUUUUUCAUUGGAACAAUCAUAUUUUCUACUGAAUUCGUAAACCCG